rnacentral:rRNA from 1 species
AGUGAACGCUGGCGGUAGGCCUAACACAUGCAAGCCGAACGGCAGCACAGUAAGAGCUUGCUCUUACGGGUGGCGAGUGGCGGACGGGUGAGGAAUACAUCGGAAUCUACUUUUUCGUGGGGGAUAACGUAGGGAAACUUACGCUAAUACCGCAUACGACCUACGGGUGAAAGCAGGGGAUCUUCGGACCUUGCGCGAUUGAAUGAGCCGAUGUCGGAUUAGCUAGUUGGCGGGGUAAAGGCCCACCAAGGCGACGAUCCGUAGCUGGUCUGAGAGGAUGAUCAGCCACACUGGAACUGAGACACGGUCCAGACUCCUACGGGAGGCAGCAGUGGGGAAUAUUGGACAAUGGGCGCAAGCCUGAUCCAGCCAUACCGCGUGGGUGAAGAAGGCCUUCGGGUUGUAAAGCCCUUUUGUUGGGAAAGAAAAGCAGCAGGUUAAUACCCCGCUGUUCUGACGGUACCCAAAGAAUAAGCACCGGCUAACUCCGUG